CCUACGGGCGGCAGCAGUGAGGAAUAUUGGUCAAUGGACGAGAGUCUGAACCAGCCAAGUAGCGUGAAGGAUGACUGCCCUAUGGGUUGUAAACUUCUUUUAUAUGGGAAUAAAAUGUUCCACGUGUGGGAUUUUGUAUGUACCAUAUGAAUAAGGAUCGGCUAACUCCGUUCCAGCAGCCGCGGUAAUACGGAGGAUCCGAGCGUUAUCCGGAGUUAUUGGGUUUAAGGGGAGCGUAGGUGGAUUGUUAAGUCAGUUGUGAAAGUUUGCGGCUCAACCGUAAAAUUGCAGUUGAAACUGGCAGUCUUGAGUACAGUAGAGGUGGGCGGAAUUCGUGGUGGAGCGGUGAAAUGCUUAGAUAUCACGAAGAACUCCGAUUGCGAAGGCAGUUCACUGGACUGCAACUGACACUGAGGCUCGAAAGUGUGGGUAUCAAACAGGAUUAGAUACCCCAGUAGUC
rnacentral:rRNA from 1 species